GGGGGGGGGGGCAAGCGUUGUUCGGAAUUACUGGGCGUAAAGGGCGCGUAGGCGGUCCCGCAAGUCCUUCGUGAAAUCCCACAGCUCAACUGUGGAACUGCGAGGGAAACUGCAGGACUUGAGUCCGGGAGAGGAGAGUGGAAUUCCCAGUGUAGCGGUGAAAUGCGUAGAUAUUGGGAGGAACACCGGUGGCGAAGGCGGCUCUCUGGACCGGUACUGACGCUGAGGCGCGAAAGCUAGGGGAGCAAACGGGAUUAGAUACCCCGGUAGUCCUAGCCUUAAACGAUGAGCACUUGGUGUGGCGGGUAUCGACCCCUGCCGUGCCGAAGCUAACGCAUUAAGUGCUCCGCCUGGGGAGUACGGUCGCAAAGGCUG
rnacentral:rRNA from 1 species